rnacentral:tRNA from 1 species
GCCUGGGUGGCUCAGUCGGUUAAGCGUCUGACUUCGGCUCAGGUCAUGAUCUCGUGGUUUGUGAGUUCGAGCCCCGCGUCAGGCU